UACGGAGGGGGCUAGCGUUGUUCGGAAUUACUGGGCGUAAAGCGUGCGCAGGCGGCUUCUCAAGUCAGGGGUGAAAGCCCAGAGCUCAACUCUGGAAUUGCCUUUGAGACUGAGUGGCUUGAGUACGAGAGAGGUGAGUGGAAUUCCCAGUGUAAAGGUGAAAUUCGUAGAUAUUGGGAAGAACACCGGUGGCGAAGGCGGCUCACUGGCUCGUAACUGACGCUCAUGCACGCAGCUGGGGAUCAAACAGG
rnacentral:rRNA from 1 species